UUAUAAGAGACAGCAGCCGCCGCGGUAAUACGUAGGGUGCGAGCGUUAAUCGGAAUUACUGGGCGUAAAGCGUGCGCAGGCGGUUAUAUAAGACAGUUGUGAAAUCCCCGGGCUCAACCUGGGAACUGCAUCUGUGACUGUAUAGCUAGAGUACGGUAGAGGGGGAUGGAAUUCCGCGUGUAGCAGUGAAAUGCGUAGAUAUGCGGAGGAACACCGAUGGCGAAGGCAAUCCCCUGGACCUGUACUGACGCUCAUGCACGAAAGCGUGGGGAGCAAACAGGAUUAGAUACCCGCGUAGUCCCUGUCUCUUAUAC
rnacentral:rRNA from 1 species